rnacentral:rRNA from 1 species
AUUGAGCGCUGGCGGCAGGCCUAACACAUGCAAGUCGAGCGGAUGAGUGGAGCUUGCUCCAUGAUUCAGCGGCGGACGGGUGAGUGAUGCCUAGGAAUCUGCCUGGUAGUGGGGGACAACGUUUCGAAAGGAACGCUAAUACCGCAUACGUCCUACGGGAGAAAGCAGGGGACCUUCGGGCCUUGCGCUAUCAGAUGAGCCUAGGUCGGAUUAGCUAGUUGGUGAGGUAAAGGCUCACCAAGGCGACGAUCCGUAACUGGUCUGAGAGGAUGAUCAGUCACACUGGAACUGAGACACGGUCCAGACUCCUACGGGAGGCAGCAGUGGGGAAUAUUGGACAAUGGGCGAAAGCCUGAUCCAGCCAUGCCGCGUGUGUGAAGAAGGUCUUCGGAUUGUAAAGCACUUUAAGUUGGGAAGAAGGGCAGUAAGUUAAUACCUUGCUGUUUUGACGUUACCGACAGAAUAAGCACCGGCUAACUUCGUGCCAGCAGCCGCCGUAACAC